GCCUGGGUGGCUCAGUUGGUUAAGCAUCCGACUUCAGCUCAGGUCAUGAUCUCGUGGUCCGUGGGUUCAAGCCCUGCAUCAGGCU
rnacentral:tRNA from 1 species